GGUAGUAAAAGUCGUAACAAGGUUUCCGUAGGUGAACCUGCGGAAGGAUCAUUAUCGUACAAAAUGUGAGGGGCAUGCGAGGGCUGUCGCUGACCCAAAAGUCGCGCACGCCCGAGUGUGUCCUCUUGCAUAAUAAUCCAUCUCACCCUUUGUGCAUCACCGCGUGGGCACCCUUCGGGAUCAUCUCGGAGGGGGGCUCGCGUUUUCACACAAACCCCCCUUUUAAAAGUGUAGAAUGACCACAUUUAUGCAAUCAAUACAACUUUCAACAACGGAUCUCUUGGCUCUC
rnacentral:misc_RNA from 1 species